rnacentral:lncRNA from 1 species
UUUUUCAUAGAUCUAUCAUCAUUCAAAGAGGUUGAGAAAAUAUUUUGGUAUUUUUUAGAUCUCAAAAACUAUUUAAAAUGAAUUAAAAAUAACCAGAAAAGAGAAAAUUAUUAAAAAAUAGCAAAUGAUAAAAUAAAAAAUAUUAAAAAUCAAUAAAAGAGAAAUAAUGCAAUUGGUCCCAUAAUUUUUGGACCAAUAAUGAAAGAGAUAUGGAUUUUAGAAAUAAAAUGGAAUUAAAAGAAAUAAAAGAAAAUAGAAAUCAGAAAUUAAAAAUUAGAAAAAAGGAGAGGCGUUGGAUGAUGGCUCAUUAAUUGAGUUGGCAUAUCACAUGGCUCUCAGCGCGCUUCCACAAUACAUCC